rnacentral:rRNA from 1 species
CCUACGGGUGGCAGCAGUAGGGAAUUUUGCGCAAUGCGCGUAAGCGUGACGCAGCAACGCCGCGUGAAUGACGAAGGUCUUCGGAUCGUAAAGUUCUUUCGUCAGAGAAGAUAAUGCCUAUAACUAACUGUUUAUGUCUUGCCGGUUCCUGUAUAGCCGCCGCCGUCUAACUCCGUGCCAGCGGCCUCGUUAAUACGAAGGGGGCGAGCGUUCUCCGGAGGGACUGAGCGUAAAGAGCACGUAGGCCGUGUAGUAAGUCAUAAGUCAAAGACUAGAGCUUAACUUUAGAAAGGCAGGUGAUACUAUAAGACUAGAGUGUGAGAGAGGAAGGUAGAAUUCUUGGUGUAGGGGUGAAAUGCGUAGAGAUCAGGAGGAAUACUGAUAGCGAAGGCGGCCAGCUGGAGGGAAACUGACGCUGAGGUGCGAAAGCGUGGGGAGCAAACAGGAUUAGAUACCCGGGUAGUC